CACGAACUGUCACACUUCGCGAGGCGGCCCUCAUUGUUCGGAGUUCGGGGUAUCCCAGUACAAAGACACCAAUCGGCGGUCGACAGCUGCCGCUGACGUCCUGGUUGGUACUCGCAGUAUAAUACAUAGUUGGGACCAGCAGGAUCUAGAUCUAGUGCUAGACAGUGCCAGCACGGUGCCAGUAGAGUCUCCCUCCUGGAACUAAGUGGGAAAAGAGCGGCCUUCACGGCGUGCGUGCGUGUAACCAGAAAACACAGAGAGAGGGUUUGGGGGCUUAGCUUCAGUGGUCGUGUUUGAGUUUGACGCAUUCUUCUGUUGGACAGUUAGGUGUUGGCUCUGGCGAACGAGGAGGUUUUUACCUGCCUUUUUUCCGACUGAGACAAUGGAUGACAGAGUUAAUCUCUGGCCCCGACUUUUCUAAAGAGACUGGAGUACCACUGUUGUUGUAGUCUUAUGAAAGUCUUUAUUUCUCUCUCUUUAAAAAAAAAAAAGACCUGCCAUCGUGGAGUCACUAUAUUAUUAUCUUCAUAGCUUUGGAUUUCAUUCAAAAGCUUAAAGGAUAAAAAGAACACACUGUCGGAAGAUUAACUCCGCGUUGGUUUUGUGAAUUCAAGGGACAUUUGUGUACACAGAGCACCAAGAUGCCUGAAGACUCGGUCAAGGUGGCGGUGAGGGUGCGUCCCUUCAACCAGAGGGAGAUGGACCGCCAAGCAAAACUAAUCAUCAAAAUGCAGGGCUCAAUGACCAGCAUACAAAACCCAGAGACUCCAAG